UACGGAGGGUGCAAGCGUUAUUCGGAUUUACUGGGCGUAAAGGGUGCGUAGGCUGUUUUUUAAGUUAGGCGUGAAAGCCCCAGGCUCAACCUGGGAACUGCGCUUAAUACUGGAGAACUUGAGUACGAGAGAGGAAAAUGGAAUUCCUAGUGUAGAGGUGAAAUUCGUAGAUAUUAGGAAGAACACCAGUGGCGAAGGCGAUUUUCUGGCUCGUAACUGACGCUGAGGCACGAAAGCGUGGGGAGCAAAC
rnacentral:rRNA from 1 species